CUGGGUAGCUGAGGAUACUGGGAGUCACAUAUCCAGAUGUCACGAAAAUCAGUUCGGUAGAUUCCGUGUCGCAUCGUGUGGAAGUUUGACCGGCUCACUAUGUGGUGGUAUCCGAUUUAGAGUUCCAUGAAAUCAGUAGCAAUAUCCGGUCUCCGUUCGCGCAGAAUUACACGAAAACUACCAUAGAUAGGUUGCAGCUGGUUACAUGAGAGUGCUCCCCUCGUUCGGUAGAUUAAAACCCCCGAACGCUGGUUUGAUACUAUGAGUGGAAAUAGGUCAGACGGGACUUCCAUAAUGACCGGACGUUCGUGUGAUUGCCAUGCCGUAAACAGUUCCAGGCCAUCCACGAGUAAGUCCCGCUGGCCGCAUUCGGGAGAUUUAAGAUGGCCGCCAUCCUUUGUUCUCGCCACGUGUUCGUAUGCUGAAUGGCUGCUGUGGCGGAACCAGCCUCGCCACUGGGCAUUGGAGAAGACUGAUUGCCGGCCUCCUGCCCUGUGACUAUGGCCCCAUGUUGAAAGGAUGGAUUUUC